rnacentral:lncRNA from 1 species
GCUCCCUAUCCCCGGGCCUGGGCUGCAGUGUCCUCGCCAAAGACAGGUUCUCCCCAGCCCUGAAGCCGCCAGGGUUUCGUCCCGUGCUUCCCACUCCACAGUCCGCCACAGGGCAAAGGAAAAAGCCCACGGGGCGACCCGGAGCUGACCACACUGAGUCCGGUGUCAGGCUACCUCAGCGUGAGGAACUGGAAAGCCACGGUGCCUGAGCGGGAAGGCGGGGUUAACAUGACGACCUACCGCGGUCUGGCUCUCCGGGUGCACGUCCACCAAGGUACACCAGCUCCGCGUCCCGUUCAUCUUCCCGCGGAGGUCGCACGAGAACUCUGAGGUCCAGGAGCAACUGGGCUGGCGCGCACGGAACCGCCCCCUAGUAUAGACGCGUCGGGGGCGCGGCUUAAAGUGGGCCACGCCCCGAGCGGUAUUUGUCAAUGAGCGGAAGCGAGAGGUAGGCGGUGCCGAGAGACUUCAGGACUCGCCUACCCGCGCUAUGGACGAUUUACAUAAAGUUCUCCAGGUUCUGUGCAGAAAAGAAUCGGUCUGGUCUUCUGUAGGAGCUAAGAUUCUAGAGUGGAGAGCCCUACCUGUAAGGUUCACUGACGGACCUCGUCACAGCCUGUCCCAUAAACAACAUCACUCACAGACAGAAGACACCUGCUGUACC